GGAGAGGUGGCAGAGUUGGUCGAAUGCGUCUGAUUUGAAAUCAGAAAGGACUUUACAAUCCUCGUGGGUUCGAAUCCCACUCUCUCCU
rnacentral:tRNA from 1 species